GGGUGCGAUCAUACCAACGUUAAUGCACCGGAUCCCAUCAGAACUCCGUAGUUAAGCAUGCUUGGGCUAGAGUAGUACUGGGAUGGGUGACCUCUCGGGAAGUCCUAGUGUUGCACCCU
rnacentral:rRNA from 1 species